GUGCCUUCGGGGGACAUCCGAUAAAAUUGGAACGUAUAGCAGAAGAAGAUUAAGCAUGGCCCCUGCGCAAGGAUGACAGCACAAAUCGAAGAUAAAUGGUCCAAAUUUUU